UACGUAGGGUCCGAGCGUUGUCCGGAAUUAUUGGGCGUAAAGGGCUCGUAGGCGGCCAACUAAGUCAGACGUGAAAUCCCUCGGCUUAACCGGGGAACUGCGUCUGAUACUGGAUGGCUCGAGAUUGGGAGAGGGAUGCGGAAUUCCAGGUGUAGCGGUGAAAUGCGUAGAUAUCUGGAAGAACACCGGUGGCGAAGGCGGCAUCCUGGACCGGCAUUGACGCUGAGGCGCGAAAGCUAGGGGAGCAAACGGGG
rnacentral:rRNA from 1 species